ACCCUCAGAUAUGAUGGCUAUGACCCAAACUUCUACGAAGUGUACAUUGAAAAUCCCAAAGGAUGCUUCAAUCUAAAACUUCAGUAUGCUUUGUCAAAAAAAUAUGAACCGGUGUAUGAACCUGUCUGGACCUGUAAACUCCAAAAAGACGAUCAUCCAAAGUCUGGUUAUGGGGAAGGUCCAAGAUCCUCGAGGGGACUAACUGGUGUCACUACUGUUGACAAACACUGUGAAUAAGCUGCCUGCAGUGAUGCAGAAGGGACCAACGGCAGCAUCAGAUGGAGAGAGGCUUUAGGAGGGAGAAGCUCAAUGAAUUUAAGUUGUUUCUGAGGCACGGAAACAUCGUUACUGAACUUUCUCGCAUCCCAGAUGACAAACUGGAGAACACAGACCAGUCAGGCCUGUUCGAUCUCUUGCGUAGACUUACACUUAGCAGUCUGUGGAAGUGACCAAAGAUUUUUUUCAAGAAAUGUAAAAACCAAGACCUGGUGUAUAUGCCAUCAGACAUCAUGAUCCAAAGUUUCUUUUAAAAACUCACUGUUUAUCUAAUAAAAUGUUUUGCCUUUUGAUUGCACA